CGGGGACUGUUCCCGUCCUCCCCCCAACCCUUGGGACGCUCAGGAUGCCCCAGGAACAAAGCAAACUGUGGCCACAAACCAUGUCUUGGCCUGUGCCCAUGGGCUGUGGCCACUGAAGUGGGUUGCACGGUG
rnacentral:snoRNA from 1 species